CACACACAGUUAAACAUGAGGCGCUGCAGAACAGGACUGCUGCUUUUAACUCUCUGCUGGGCAGGCGUUUCCAGUCAGACUCUGAGUGAGUCUGAACCAGCGGUGAAGCUCCCAGGAGAAUCCCAUAAACUGACCUGUACCUAUGCAGGAAUAUCAGAUGAUGCUGCUGCUAUCAGCUGGAUCAGACAAGCUGAAGGAAAAGGACUGGAGUGGAUUGCCCACAUUUCUGCUCCGAGUGGAAGCAAUAAAUAUUAUUCCACGUCUGUCCUGAAUCGUUUCACCAUUUCCAGAGACAACGCCGUGGACCAGGUGUCUCUGCAGAUGAACAGUCUGACCACUGAAGACUCUGCUGUUUAUUAUUGUGCUCGGAGGCCACAGUGAUACAGGAAGCCACAGAACUGUACAAAAACUCCCCCCCCUGUAUCAGUCACUGAUAAAGUAUUGUGAAUCGCCAUUAUUUUUAAAAUCCCCCCUAUAGUGUUAAUUGUUGGAACCAGGGGGAGAAAAUGGAAGGUUGGACUAGAUUAAAUAGAAGUUAAAUCAAAGUUAAUUAUCAUCAAAGGCAGCAACUGUACUAUCUCACUGAAAAUAAAUAGCUGUUUUAAAGAUAUUUGCAAGUAAAGAAGGUCGGCGCCAUUUAAUUUGACGUCCAAACGCAUCUCCUCCGUUAACACUGAACCCUCAUGUCACCUUUGUUCUCGAUUACAAACAAAAACCCUGCUGAA